AGUAUUUAACCCUUACGGGGCGGGGGAGUAUUUCUUUUCAGCCAAGUCUUCAGAUUGGAAGGUCUUGCUUUCCACCAUUCUGUGACCCUGCUUUACAGGUGUUGAGAACAGUUGGCUACGGAAUUUGCAUUUCGUGAUGCAUGUUCCUGAGCAACAACAGUCUCCUCUGGGCAGCCUUUACAGACAUGAAAUGCCUCUCAUCAAGAAUGUUGCAGGGCUUGUCCUCGUUCCAGAUUGCAGACCAAUGCAGUUAGAGCAUCAUGCUCUUCAUCCGCCAGUUUUCAGUGUGCUCAGCUGCGGAAGGCCUCUGUCCUAGGAAUGAGGAGCACGUUUGGAUGGCCACCCUGUCUGUCUGGCCUCAAAGUAGAAGACAGUUCUUCCUUGCAGAGUUAUGGACUUGGGCUGGAGGAAAAACUUCAUAAGGCAGCCCAACAGGUGAUAGCCUGAAGUUAGCGGGAGAGUCAUAGGUGGUGUCUGAAGCAAGAAAGCUCAGAUUGACAUGGGGCUUGCAGCAUUCCUAUUCAGAUACCGAUUAUACCUGCAGUGGGGAGGAAGCCCUUGCCAUCCCAUAAGCAAGAACCUGUCAUAAAGGUCUGCUGGACAUGUACAAUUUCAUUUCGGUGGCUGCAGCUUGGCUUCAUUAACACUUGAAUGUUCCUUGUUGGGCAGAAUGUUGUAAUAUGAGUGUUUUAAUUGGAUACAGCCUCAAUACAAUACUGGAUGCAACUUUUAAAAAAUGAUUAAACCAUAUCAAACUUGUGCUAGAA